GACAGUGAAGGUGCUGCAGCACAAAAGUCUUGACAAAUUGUUACUAGAAGUUCUGAAUAAGUGCCAAAAGCGUCAUCUUCUUUCUCCUUCCGGAACGUGAUUGUGCAUCUUAUAUUUCGACAUGUGGUCGCAGCGUACGCUUAACAUCGAGCCAUCCAUUUUCCUUCGGUGCUUUUCUUUGCGCUGCUGGAUUGCUGCUCCUGUAUUCUCAUUUCAUUUCCUCCUAUUUCUCCCCC
rnacentral:lncRNA from 1 species